GUGUCAGCCGCCGCGGUAACACGUAGGGGGCGAGCGUUGUCCGGAUUUAUUGGGCGUAAAGAGCUCGUAGGUGGUUCGGUAAGUCGGGUGUGAAAACUCUGGGCUCAACUCAGAGACGCCACCCGAUACUGCUGUGACUGGAGUCUGGUAGGGGAGUGUGGAAUUCCCGGUGUAGCGGUGAAAUGCGCAGAUAUCGGGAGGAACACCAGUGGCGAAGGCGGCACUCUGGGCCAGUACUGACACUGAGGAGCGAAAGCGUGGGUAGCGAACAGGAUUAGAAACCCUGGUAGUCC
rnacentral:rRNA from 1 species